UGGGGAAUUGUUCGCAAUGGGCGCAAGCCUGACGACGCAACGCCGCGUGGAGGAUGAAGAUCUUCGGGUCGUAAACUCCUUUCGAUCGAGACGAACGGCUUCCGGGUGAACAAUCCGGGAGAGUGACGGUACCGAGAGAAGAAGCCCCGGCUAACUCCGUGCCAGCAGCCGCGGUAAUACGGGGGGGGCAAGCGUUGUUCGGAAUUACUGGGCGUAAAGGGCUCGUAGGCGGCCAUCUAAGUCAGACGUGAAAUCCCUCGGCUUAACCGGGGAACUGCGUCUGAUACUGGAUGGCUUGAGUUUGGGAGAGGGAUGCGGAAUUCCAGGUGUAGCGGUGAAAUGCGUAGAUAUCUGGAGGAACACCGGUGGCGAAGGCGGCAUCCUGGACCAAUACUGACGCUGAGUGAGCGAAAGCCAGGGGAGCAAACGGG
rnacentral:rRNA from 1 species